rnacentral:rRNA from 1 species
CGCGGUAUUUUGACUGUGCGAAGGUAGCAUAAUCAUUUGUCUUUUAAUUGAAGACUUGUAUGAAUGGCUGAACGAGAAAAUAACUGUCUCUUUAAAAAAUCUUGAAUUUUACUUUUAAGUGAAAAGGCUUAAAUAAUUUUAAGGGACGAUAAGACCCUAUAAAUCUUUAUAUUAUUUUCUUUAACUUUCAAAUUAUAUAUUAAAAGAAAUAAAAGAAAUAAAAUAUUAUAUUGGGGAGAUAAAAAUAUAAUUUUUAACUGUUUUAAAUAAAAACCAAUAAUUUUUGAUUUAUUAAAAAUUGAUCCUUUUUAAAGAUUUUAAGAUCAAGUUACUUUAGGGAUAACAGCGUAAUUUUUUUUGAGAGUUCUUAUCGAAAAAAAAGUUUGCGACCUCGAUGUUGAAUUAAAAUAUCCUUAUAAGUGCAGAAGCUAUAAAGGAAAGUCUGUUCGACUUUUAAAAUUUUACAU